rnacentral:lncRNA from 1 species
CCAUGCGUCCUAGAACACGAGCAGCGACCGCGCCGCCGCGAACCGGGGCAUGCCGAGGAUGUGGCGGACGCCGGUGAGGUACUCCGUGCCGCCGCUCUCCCAGAUGGUCUGGCCGGGCUGCCAACCGUUCAUCGGCCGCUUACCGAGGCUCUCGUAGUCGAGCACAUGUGGAGCUUCUCUUCCCCUCUACUCUCGCCGCCUGCCCGCCUCCCGCGUCUCCGGCGGCGGCGAUGUCAG